rnacentral:rRNA from 1 species
CCUACGGGAGGCAGCAGUGAGGAAUAUUGGUCAAUGGACGAGAGUCUGAACCAGCCAAGUAGCGUGAAGGAUGACUGCCCUAUGGGUUGUAAACUUCUUUUAUAUGGGAAUAAAAUGUUCCACGUGUGGGAUUUUGUAUGUACCAUAUGAAUAAGGAUCGGCUAACUCCGUGGCAGCAGCCGCGGUAAUACGGAGGAUCCGAGCGUUAUCCGGAUUUAUUGGGUUUAAAGGGAGCGUAGGUGGAUUGUUAAGUCAGUUGUGAAAGUUUGCGGCUCAACCGUAAAAUUGCAGUUGAAACUGGCAGUCUUGAGUACAGUAGAGGUGGGCGGAAUUCGUGGUGUAGCGGUGAAAUGCUUAGAUAUCACGAAGAACUCCGAUUGCGAAGGCAGCUCACUGGACUGCAACUGACACUGAGGCUCGAAAGUGUGGGUAUCAAACAGGAUUAGAUACCCGAGUAGUC